rnacentral:rRNA from 1 species
AGAUUAAACUGAAGAGUUUGAUCCUGGCUCAGAUUGAACGCUGGCGGCAUGCCUUACACAUGCAAGUCGAACGGCAGCACGGAGCUUGCUCUGGUGGCGAGUGGCGAACGGGUGAGUAAUAUAUCGGAACGUACCCUGGAGUGGGGGAUAACGUAGCGAAAGUUACGCUAAUACCGCAUACGAUCUAAGGAUGAAAGUGGGGGAUCGCAAGACCUCAUGCUCGUGGAGCGGCCGAUAUCUGAUUAGCUAGUUGGUAGGGUAAAAGCCUACCAAGGCAUCGAUCAGUAGCUGGUCUGAGAGGACGACCAGCCACACUGGAACUGAGACACGGUCCAGACUCCUACGGGAGGCAGCAGUGGGGAAUUUUGGACAAUGGGCGAAAGCCUGAUCCAGCAAUGCCGCGUGAGUGAAGAAGGCCUUCGGGUUGUAAAGCUCUUUUGUCAGGGAAGAAACGGUGAG